GUUAAUGCCAGUUGGUCUCCACUGCACAUGUAAGCAAGGAGGGUUGUGGGAAACAGGAGGUUUGUGGCAACAGUAGGGUCGCAGUUCAGAGAGGAGACCUGGAAGUGAUGAGAUGGGAUCAAUGGGAGAUGCUUCCAAACCUUGGACUGGAUUCUGGAACCUUGGGCCUGCCAUCUGCUGAUUCUGCCACUACAUGAUCUUCUUGAUUUGAUCUUUAGACUGUACCCUGACCAUCCAUUGCCUGCUGUUACUGUCAAUGUGUGCCUUCCAGGAGUCAAACUGGUCAAAAGAACUUCAAGACUGUCAGGAGUGGUUGCUACUUGAGUGUAAGAAGACUGCAUCCAUGGGCAAACCUCUCUGUAAAUAACGGAGUAUCCUACAAUCUUCCCAUUUGUAUUCCGU